rnacentral:rRNA from 1 species
UACGAAGGGUGCAAGCGUUAAUCGGAAUUACUGGGCGUAAAGCGUGCGUAGGUGGUGGUUUAAGUCCGUUGUGAAAGCCCUGGGCUCAACCUGGGAAUUGCAGUGGAUACUGGGUCACUAGAGUGUGGUAGAGGGUAGCGGAAUUCCCGGUGUAGCAGUGAAAUGCGUAGAGAUCGGGAGGAACAUCUGUGGCGAAGGCGGCUACCUGGACCAACACUGACACUGAGGCACGAAAGCGUGGGGAGCAAACAGG